UUUCCAGUCGUUUAGACAAUAUGGAAAUUAAUGUGAAAUUAAAAAACAAAGUAUUAAUAGAAAGGUAAUGACUGUCCUGUGUAGGUGACAGUGAUAUCCAAUAGGCUAGGCACUCACGAGGCUGGCUGUGGCAAGUGCAAGUGAAAGCCACACGCACUGGCAGGAAGAACAGCAAACGCCGAUGAAGGAAAAGGGUCUUUGCAGUGAUGGGCGUUACCAGGAGAGGACGAUGGCCAGAGGACGCAAAUGGGACGGGGAGGCAGCACGUUGGGGGGGGGGGGGGGGGGGCGCGACACAGCUCGGGCCCGCCAGUGCCCCAACGGGGCCCUAGUUAUUAUUUUUCCUCCCCUUUGAACUGGAAAAUGGCCCACUUCCCACUGGCGAAAACUCAUGAAAUUUGGCAGGACGACCGGGCCUGGUGAAAAAUUUGAUAUUCCGAAGUCGCCCAAACAAGAAAAUGCAAAAUGGCUCCAUAGCGCCCCCUAAGGUGAAAAUUCACACUAUUCACUGUCACGCCUGUACGCUUUGUCAAAAUGACACAAAAAUUGACACACACAUGUAUCUCAAUAAGAUCUACAAAAAAGUCAGUGCGGGCGUAUCUGUCAAAUGUACGGUUAAAGGGUUAUUUCGCAUUUUUUGCCGAUCCGCACACAUUGGAAUUUCGCUAACUCCUCCGAAGGCUUUCGUUCCACCGGCACCACAUUUGCUCAGGCCAAAUUACACCCCAUGGCCAUUAAAAGUUAUUCAAAUCAUGACGCUGCACCCUACGGUUUACGUUCUAGGGGGCGCCAAAGAUAACCCAAAAAUCCACAUUUUUAAAAGUCUUAUAACUUUUUAUUUUUGUCCUCACUGGCCUCCAAGUUUUCUAGGAUGAUGCAAUGUCCAGCCAUCAACACAUUUGUGAAGGAAUUUUUACUUCCUAAAAGAGCGCCCCCCCAUGGCAGGAGAAAAAAGUCCAUUUUUUCUUGUCCCCUAAGGUGAAAAUACACAUUGUUGACUGUCACGCCUGUACGCUUUGGCAAAAUGACACAAAAAUUGACAAUCAUGUGUAUCUCAAUUAGAUCUACGAAAAAGUCAAAGAGCGCGUAUCUGUAUAAUGUACGGUAAAAGGGCUAUUUUGCAUUUUUUGCCGAUUCGCACACAUUGGAAUUUUGCUAACUCCUCCUAAGGCUUUCGUCCCACUGACACCAAAUUUGCUCAGGCCAAUCUACACUCCAUGGCCAUUCAAAGUUGUAAAAAUCAUGACGCUGCACCCCACGGUUUACGUUUUAGGGGGCGCCAAAGAUGACCCAAAUAUACAUUACAGUAGACAAAGUAGUUUUGCCCACUGAGUGGCGCCAAAGGGACUUGUCUAUGGAGUCUGUGAGUCACUAUUGGCCGUUUUUGACUACUUUAGAUUUUACCUUUAUAUUUCCUCUUACAAAAUUUUUACCUUGCCUUGCCUGGUAUCAUUUUUUUCAGCACAACCUCACCUGUGUCAAUUUACAGUUAUUUUAUCAUUUUGACAUACUAUAUUUACACAUUGGACCCAAAUUCACACACAAAACAUAAAAUCCGAGUGGAAAAAAGUAACGUUUUUACUGUGAAAACCACAAAUAUGUGUGAUGAACUGUUUUUAAAACUUAAACUUCAAAUAAAAAUUGUAAACUUCAGAACAUAUGCAAAUUUUUAACAAAGAACAUAGUAAUUUACCUCUAUUUACAUCAAAAUGCAGGCAAUGGCUCAGGUGUUCUUUGUAAAAUUAUUUACAAAACACUGUAUAGUCUCACAAAUGUCACUUUUUAUUUAUGCCACUACAAAAAAAACAUGAUGUAAAUGAUGCAUGAUGUAAAACAUGAUGUAAAAAACUUGUGUAGAUCCUCCUCUAUGUUAGUCCAUGUGUAAUUUUUCCAUAAUUCUUUGUUUUUUGCAGCAUUUUUGUUAGUGUAACUGCAGAUUGUGCUGACAGUGUCUAUGGCAAAAAAAAAAAAAAAAAACUGAAAAUGCCUCAACAUGAACCCCUGGUGGUCUCUGAGGGUGAAACCUGCUAACUGCUGCAGCUCUGUCAGCUUCAGUCUCCCAUGCAGAGCUCUGAGCGCAUGUGUGGCUCUGCACCCUUAGCAGCGUUGCUAACUCCUCAGUAAGGAAAGCCUGCUUCAUGUCAGAGUCUCUAAACUCCAGAAGAAGUCGAUAAAAGUCCCUUUCUUUCUAAAAAAAAAGUCGUUAGGGGGUCUGAAAAGUCAUUGAAUCUAACAACAAAGUCGCUAGGUUUGCAACUACGUGUCCCAGACUGCAUCCCUGCUGAGAGUCCCUCCCUCCCUUCUCAUAUUGCAGGAAGAACGUAAGCGCCCGCCCCUUGUCAAUCAGUCACCAUAUAAUUUUGGAUUGGUUGUUGUGGUGAAGUUUUCCACCAAUAGGAGAGAUGUUGUGGUGUGUUUUUUUUUUUCCUUUGGCAAGCCUUUUCCGCCUGUAAGACCUGUCGCUAAUGUCUGCAUGCUAUGUUUUCCUGUCUCAUACAGCGCGAUCGAGCGCCGAACGUGAUCAAAAUAAGCAGAAAACAAGUAUCGCGGACAUAAUUUAUCAUAACUCUGGUUUUAUUUGGCCUAUCAACACAAUUUAAAAACUGGUAUAUAGGUUGAGGUCCUCACUUUUGAGAUAAGUUGAAACGGAGAGUCAACGAGGCUCCGUCUUGCAGCUACAUCCGGUUAAAUAUGUCAUGUGACUUGAACGCACACACAGACACACACACACACGCACACACACACACACACACACUCAGAGUCUGGUUUUUAGCACCUGCAAAAACAUGCUAUUUACAUAUUUGACAAGAAUGCAGAGGCUCCUUUUGCCCCUGAAAAAAAUCAAAUUUCAAACACAACUUGACUGGUCAUUUCUCCAAAAGACAACCAUGAAGCUCCAUCCAAACCUGAAGCAGGCAGUUGGUGCAUGUGCACAGUAACCUGAGGGGAGUGAGGUGACUGCUUCUGAGGAGAACAUGAGCAGUGAAGAUUCACCUUAGAGCUAGAACAGAGACGUGCACAUGAUUAUACAGGGGCAGGGGCUCAAGUUUUUUCCAGUCGUUUAUACAAUAUGGAAAUUAAUGUGAAAUUAAAAAACAAAGUAUUAAUAGAAAGGUAAUGACUGUCCUGUGUAGGUGACAGUGAUAUCCAAUAGGCUAGGCACUCACGAGGCUGGCUGUGGCAAGUGUAAGUGAAAGCAACACGCACUGGCAGGAAGAACAGCAAACGCCGAUGAAGGAAAAGGGUCUUUGCAGUGAUGGGCGUUACCAGAGAGGGCGAUGGCCAGAGGACACAAAUGGGACGGGGAGGCAGCGCGUUGGGGGGGGGACGCGACACAGCUCGGGCCCGCCAGUGCCCCAACGGGGUCCUAGUUCCAGUUGUUGCUGUAAUUGAAAGUUUACUGAUGGUUCUAUGAAUAACCAGGGAGGAGUAAUUGAAUAUGGGACCGUCGGACUGAAUUGUAUGCCACCUAAUCCUGCUUGUACUGCUUUUAUGUUUCCUAUCCAGCCAAAACUCCUAAUAUUUGAUUCAUUAUGUUCCCAAC